rnacentral:rRNA from 1 species
CCUACGGGUGGCAGCAGUGGGGAAUAUUGCACAAUGGGGGAAACCCUGAUGCAGCGACGCCGCGUGAGUGAAGAAGGAACUCGUUAUGGAAAGCUCUAUCAGCAGGGAAGAAACUGACGGUACCUGAGUAAGAACCCCCGGUUAACUACGUGCCAGCAGCCGCGGUAAUACGUAGGGGGCAAGCGUUAAACGGAUUUACUGGGUGUAAAGGGAGCGUAGACGGCAAUGCAAGUCUGGAGGGAAAGGCGGGGGCUCAACACCAGGACUGCUCUUGAAACUGUACGGCUGGAGGGCAGGAGAGGUAAGUGGAAUUCCUAGUGUAGCGGUGAAAUGCGUAGAUAUUAGGAGGAACACCAGUGGCGAAGGCGACCUGCUAGAACAUAACUGACGCUGAUGCGCGAAAGCGUGGGGAGCAAACAGGAUUAGAUACCCCUGUAGUC